AACGAACGCUGGCGGCGUGGAUAAGACAUGCAAGUCGAGCGCUGAUUACGAGGUAGCAAUAUUUCGUGGUCGGAGCGGCGCAAGGGUGCGUAACACGUGGGUAAUCUGCCAUGAAGUCCGGGAUAACUUGCUGAAAGGCGAGCUAAUACCGGAUGUGAAAGUCGCAAGGCAUCUUGUGACUUUUGAAGCUGGGGACCGUAAGGCCUGGCGCUCCAUGAUGAACCCGCGGCCUAUCAGCUAGUUGGUGAGGUAACGGCCCACCAAGGCUAAGACGGGUAGCUGGUCUGAGAGGACGACCAGCCACACUGGAACUGAGACACGGUCCAGACACCUACGGGAGGCAG
rnacentral:rRNA from 1 species